rnacentral:sRNA from 1 species
GCGCGCCGCGCGUCAACCGGACGCGGCGGCAUGGGGAACGGAGAUGGUUUUUCCGGUUUCCCGCUCCGGCCAACGAAGUGGCAGCCGAGCCCCUGUCCCGCCCGUUGG